AGUGAACGCUGGCGGUAGGCCUAACACAUGCAAGUCGAACGGCAGCACAGUAAGAGCUUGCUCUUACGGGUGGCGAGUGGCGGACGGGUGAGGAAUACAUCGGAAUCUACUUUUUCGUGGGGGAUAACGUAGGGAAACUUACGCUAAUACCGCAUACGACCUACGGGUGAAAGCAGGGGAUCUUCGGACCUUGCGCGAUUGAAUGAGCCGAUGUCGGAUUAGCUGGUUGGCGGGGUAAAGGCCCACCAAGGCGACGAUCCGUAGCUGGUCUGAGAGGAUGGUCAGCCACACUGGAACUGAGACACGGUCCAGACUCCUACGGGAGGCAGCAGUGGGGAAUAUUGGACAAUGGGCGCAAGCCUGAUCCAGCCAUACCGCGUGGGUGAAGAAGGCCUUCGGGUUGUAAAGCCCUUUUGUUGGGAAAGAAAAGCAGCAGGUUAAUACCCCGCUGUUCUGACGGUACCCAAGGAAUAAGCACCGGCUAACUUCGUG
rnacentral:rRNA from 1 species